CUUGGUCAUUUAGAGGAAGUAAAAGUCGUAACAAGGUCUCCGUAGGUGAACCUGCGGAGGGAUCAUUAACGAAUGGCCCUAGGCCUUCAACCUUGUAAACCUGUGGAAGCAAAACGUGCUUUGGCGCUUUCGGGCGCCAACUUUAUGCUUAGAUCAGUCUUGAUGUCUGAAUCAAAAACAAGAAAUAGAACUUUCAACAAAGGAUCUCUUGGCUCUCGCAUCGAUGAAGAACGCAGCGAAGCGCGAAAUGUAGUGUGAAUCGCAGAACAUUGUGAAUCAUCGAAUCUUUGAACGCACAUUACGCCUCCAGUAACUUGGAGGCAUGCCUGUCUGAGCGUCAUUUAAAACCAUAGACCCUUCUGGGUUUGUAUUGGGCCUCGCCUCCGGGCGUAGCCUCAAAGUCAUCGGUCUUAUACGCGGACGAGCUCCAUUCGGACGGAACGUGUGCAGACCUUAAUACAUCUGACUUGACCUCAGAUCAGGUAGGACUACCGCCUGAACUUAAGCAUAUCAAUAAGCGGAGGA
rnacentral:rRNA from 1 species